GACGGAGGAUGCAAGUGUUAUCCGGAAUCACUGGGCGUAAAGCGUCUGUAGGUGGUCAAAUAAGUCAACUGUUAAAUCUUGAGGCUCAACCUCAAAAUCGCAGUCGAAACUAUUAGACUAGAGUAUAGUAGGGGUAAAGGGAAUUUCCAGUGGAGCGGUGAAAUGCGUAGAUAUUUGCUAGAACACCAGUGGCGAAGGCGGCCAACUGGACCAUAACUGACGCUGAGGUGCGAAAGCGUGGGGAGCAAACAGG
rnacentral:rRNA from 1 species